CUUUUUCCUUUUCGUUGAUAUUAUUAUUGACGAGAAAAAUGAAUUCAUGUGCUGGAUUUCUAUGCCCAGCGUUGUUUCUUCUGCUCCUUGGGUGGCAAGUAGGCCAUUGAUUUCGUUCAACCAAUGAAAGUAAUUAAAUCCAAUAGAUAAAUAAAAGACGUUCGUGAACUCCGACCUGUGAUGGACGGUGCUCGUUAAGAGAUGAUAAUGAAAUGAUUGUUUAUAACAGUAAUUAACUCAUCUACCUGGGUGAUAUCGAUAAAGUAUCCGUGUUGUGGUCUAUUUAACGGCGUUUUGUUGAGAAGAUGUACUCUGUGACAAUGUACCAUAAUUCCCAUUCAUUCCCUAUCAAUUAAAAAUGCAGGAACUGUCUUUCGGUCUUAAAUGGUUGUAUCCUUGUAAUAAUCAAGUGAGGAUGGAUUCCCUUUAAGACCAGUGAUAUGGUCACUAUGAAUUCUGAGAAAGCCGCUGCCAAGCGCAAACCUGAAUCAAAUAAUGGAUCAUGUAUGGGAACAAGUGUUGAUGAUGAAGCAGUUCAUCAUCCGUCAACUACAGAUGAUUCUCCUAACUUACUCCUAUACCGAAAAAUGGAAAAAAUCGUGGAAAAAAUGCAGGAUGAAAAUACUGGUGUUCCCGUAAAAACUGUCAAAAGUUUCAUGUCGAAGAUUCCAUCAGUAUUUACAGGUUCCGAUCUCAUUAUGUGGAUGAUGAAAAAUUUAGAUGUUGAAGAUCAACAAGAGGCCUUGCAUCUAGCACAUCUUAUGGCAGCGCAUGGUUAUUUCUUUCCUAUUGAUGAUCAUAUGUUGACGGUUAAGAACGACAACACAUUCUAUAGAUUUCAAACGCCAUAUUUUUGGCCUUCAAAUUGUUGGGAACCGGAAAAUACAGACUAUGCUGUGUAUCUUUGUAAGAGAACUAUGCAAAAUAAGACUCGUUUAGAAUUAGCGGACUAUGAGGCUGAAAAUUUAGCUAGAUUACAGAAAAUGUUUUCAAGAAAGUGGGAAUUCAUAUUUAUGCAAGCUGAAGCGCAGAGUAAAGUCGAUAAAAAAAGGGAUAAACUGGAAAGGAAAGUUUUGGACAGCCAGGAGAGAGCUUUUUGGGAUGUUCAUAGGCCUAUGCCCGGCUGUGUGAACACAACUGAAAUCGAUAUAAAAAAAGCGUGCCAAAUGAACAAACCAAUUCAUGGAAUUAAAAACAUGACAGUAGAUUCUCGUAAAAUGUCACCAUCUACUUCAGGCGUUGAAAACUUGGCAUCUGUAGAUAUUCUUAAGAAACAAGUUGAACUACUCAGGACCAGAUUGGACAGGCGAAAUAUUAAGGUCUCUAAAGCAGCUGAAUCGUUGAUAGCUUAUUACGAACAAUACCUGGAGUAUGACUGCUUUUUUGUUGCCCCCGAGUAUCAAAACCCAUGGAUAAGUGAUAAUCCAGAGCUCUGGGAGCAGGAAAAGGUGGCCAAAGACAUAUCAGCUCGGCGGGUGAAACGUUGGGCUUUCAGUUUGAAAGAGCUCUUGCAAGACCCUAUAGGCCGUGAACAUUUUAUAAAAUUUCUCGAUAAGGAAUUCAGCAGUGAAAAUUUGAAAUUUUGGGAGGCUGUCCAGGAAUUGAAGUCAUUGCCACAAAGUGAAGUUCAAAAUAAAGUAACAGAAAUAUGGGCCGAGUUUUUGGCACCUGAUGCAAGUUGUCCCAUCAAUGUGGACUGCCAAUCGUAUGAGGUGACAAAAAAGAAUAUGGAAAGCUUGGACCGCUGGAGCUUCGACUGUUCUGCUGCCCAUGUUUAUCAUUUGAUGAAAAGUGACAGUUACUCUAGAUACCUUCGUUCAGAGAUGUACAAGGACUUCUUGAAUGGCUCCAAGAAAAAACAUAACCUAGUUUCAUCUUUUCAUCCUAUUUUACCGAUCGAUUUCAAUGUGGCAUGAAUUCGGUGUUCUCCAUCAGAACCUUCAUAUACCUAUGAAUUGUUCCUCGAUUCUUGUGAAGUCUUGGGUGUGUUCAAUAACUCUGAACGAUUCUUUUGGAAUUUUGGAUGCUAAUUGGUCCACAGAAUGUCGGUCCCAGCAUGUUUGCGGACAAAUGGGUUCUGCAAUGCUUGUGGCUUCCUCAGUGACAAUGUGAGGAUUACUUUUUAGCUCAACAUGGGAUAUGCCUUAAGAACAUCUGUGAAAGGAAUUCGUUCAAUAGUGUCUUUCACAGCACGAAAAGAUAACAUCACCUAGUUGGACUGACCAGAAAUAGAAUGUAACUCUUUGUUGUAACUUAUCUGUUUGAAGGUAAGUUUGAAAUUCGACAAUACAAUAUGGAAAUGUGUCACUAUUUUAAUCUUUUCUGUUUUUUCAAUUUUCAACAUCUAUAGUGGCUUUUUUUUCCCUCGUGAAAUACGUAAUGAUGUGUUCAUAAACUAGCCGAUUUAAAAUUUCAAAUGCAAGAAAUUUUAUGUUAAAACGAGGGGAUUAAAGAUUAUGUGAUAUUAGCACAAAUUCGUGAAGUCAUAUUCACAUAAAUAUACAACUAUGUAUUUUAAUUAUAUUAUCUACAAAUUCAAGUAUUUAUUAGUCACUAUAUUUAUUGAGAUUGGAAUCUUACAUCAUCAAAUCAUUUCUAAAAGUGAUUUUUAUACUUUAUGCUGGAGUAGUAUGUUUAUUUUAUGCUUUUAUUAUGAUGGGAAAAUGCGGUAAAAAAUAUUAAUAUCACCAGUUUUUUUUUUAAGAGGCAUUCAUCCAUUUUUGCCUCUUAUGAAUUAUUUAAUUUAUUCACCAGUGAGUCAUGAAAAAUGAGGAGGCUAUGAUCAUAGUGUAUAUUUUUGGACUGAAGUGAUAUUGUUUGAAAGCUUUAAAAUAAUUUUAUUCGCCAAAUAAAAUUGAGGGGAUAAUUAUCUUCCAGAAUAAUGUUGGCUUCAUUGUAGAAGUACAAAUUAUCCCCAGUUGUUUUAGAUUGCCUUAUUCGAUAAUUUUUUUACUUCUUCACCUGAUUAUGAUAUAUUUUCUUGAUUAGUCAUUUGUUAUUGAGAGGGUACAAACAUCAAGGUUUUUAAACAGUUUCAGUGAAUUUUCGUAACUGCUGAUCCAUCAUGAAAAUAUAUCGUAAUUCAUUAAUUUUGGAAUUGAAUACUGCCAUAGUAUAUUUGAACUGUUAAGGCGUCAGUAUCAGAAUAUAAUGCAAUUUUUUCAUCAAUUUUUUAAAUUGAGCCUAUUUUCUUAGGGUGAACUCUGAUUCCGUAAUCGGCUAAUUCAGAAAUAUUAUGUGGAAGUGACAUAAUUUACCGUAAAAAAAUUAUAUUGAUGAGGAAAUUGCCACUUUUUAUGUUCUGAUACUUUGAUAAUGUUAAAGUACCGAUAUAUUAAAUUAAACAACUCAAGUCUUUCACUUAGGAUACAUUUAUAAAUUCUUUAUUAUUCGUUUUAUAGAAAUGUAGCGUAUUGGUACGAAAUGGAUCAUUGUUAAAUUCCUGUAUAUCGUAUAGUUAUCAAAUAGUAUGAAACAUAUGUGUUAUGUAUCGUGAAAAAUAUUGAAUAUUAUAUCACACAAAAAAGCUCACAAUUUAUGAUGAGACAUCAUUUAAGAAAUCACAGUGAAAGAAUAAAGUUAAACUAACUAAAAUUCUUUCAUCAUAUUAAAGUGAAUCAAAAAAACGCAUAAUACAGUGAAAAAUUCGCCUUUAUCCUAUUUAUUAUUCAUUGUAAAUUUCCUCUUUUAUAGAAUCAAAGUUCCUUGUUUUUUUAUCUAGGUAUACAGUAUUAAUAUUUAUUUUGGAAUAUAGUUUUCAUAGGUUUUUCACUACAAUAUUUGCUCUUAUAUGUUUCAAUGCUUUUUUAAAAUGCGGGUCUCAUAUGAAUAGUUAGGUUAAACGCAAAAUAGGCUUUUAUAAAAUGGGAUAAAAGUUAGUGAGAAUUCUUACUAUACCAUUUCCAAUUAUUAUUAAAUUUGUUGAUAUUUGAAAUUAGGAGCAAUAAUUCAAAUACUCUAAUGUGAAAUGAAAUUCCCAGCCUUAAUAGAUUCUUCGCGUUUAUUUGUUUGAUUAUUAUACUACAUAUUUGUAUGUGAUAGUAUUUUCAGUUAAUAUGUGUAGUACGCUAAUCAAAUACGUGAAACUAUAAAUUUAUAAAUUGAUUUUUGAUUUGCGUACCAAAUUUUGAUAAGUUGCUGUAUGGACCAUGACAUUUUUUUGGAACAACAGGAAACAUAUCUUUCUUUGGCAAUUUUGUCAAAAACUUGGUCUGUUCAAUUAAUAAUGAAACAUAUCAGUUGAUGAAGACGAGAUAACUGACUGAGAAGAGAAAAAGAUUUGAUAAAUAAAAAAAAAAUGGUUGGAGAUGAUGAUGUAAUAGAAUUGAUCUAUGCUUUAAGUAUAAGUAGGUGAUGAAGGUGUAAAACUCUGCUAUAAAAAGGAAUUGGAACUGUUUAUACAGCUAACAAAUAUUUCUCAUAAUAGCAUAAACCAGCACAUCAGUUUGAAAUAUCGCGCAGCAAUCAACUGUAAGUUGGAUGCUUUACGUAUACCACAUGAGGAUUUAUCAUACUCGAAUGUUCAAAAUAUUAUUUUUCAUUUCAUUACUUCAUGUAAAAGCUUUAAUAUAGCUUGUGUAAAACAAUGUGACUGAUGAGACAACAAUAAUCCAUAAGUUAAUACUUUAUGUGCUUUCAAGUGUUAAUGAUAGAUUUUCUUUUCAAAAUUUAAUGACUUUAGGUUUCUGAAUUUGUACAUAUUCGGACAUUGAAGAUGGUUAACAUUAGUACACUGCAAUUGCGACUAGUUGAAACCAAAAUCGACAAAUGGUACACCUAUACAUAUUAAACAUCUUUUUAAUUGCGAAUGUUGAAGUAAAUUAUUAGCAUGUUGAAUAAUGCUGACAUCGCUUAGUAAUUAUGUUAUGGAAUUGAUUGAUAUUGAUAUUUCCCAGUAGAUUUUGUCUAUUUUAGAACGUUAUUCAAUACCAACUCCUAAUUAAAAUAAAGUAAUACAUGUGGAA